AACAUGUCUGUAUGAGAGUUAUAUAAAGUCUGACCUGCCCAUUGGGGACUAAAAGGCCGCGGUAUUUUGACCGUGCGAAGGUAGCAUAAUCAUUAGUCUUUUAAUUGAAGGCUGGAAUGAAUGGUUGGACGAGAAGAAAGCUGUCUCUAUCUUGGGGAUUGAAUUUAACUUUUAAGUGAAAAGGCUUAAAUGAGUUAGAGGGACGAUAAGACCCUAUAAAGUUUAUACAUGAAGCUGGUUAAGAGUGAUUUGAGGUAUUAAAGUUUAUUAUCAGCAGGGUGUUUAGUUGGGGCGACUAGGAUAUAAAUUAUAUAACUGUUUUUUGUUUAAAUCAGAGAUACUUGUUUAUAUGAUCCCUUUUUAGGAUUAGAGAAUAAAUUACUUUAGGGAUAACAGCGUAAUUUUUUUUAAGAGUUCUUAUCGACAAGAGAGUUUGCGACCUCGAUGUUGAAUUAAAAAUUUCUUUGUGGUGUAGCAGUUACAGAAGAAGGUCUGUUCGACCUUUAAAUUUUUACAUGAUUUGAGUUCAGACCGGCGAAAGCCAGGUUGGUUUCUAUC
rnacentral:rRNA from 1 species